GAUGAACGCUAGCGAUAGGCUUAACACAUGCAAGUCGAGGGGCAGCAUGGUCUUAGCUUGCUAAGACUGAUGGCGACCGGCGCACGGGUGCGUAACGCGUAUGCAACUUGCCUCACAGAGGGGGAUAACCCGUCGAAAGACGGACUAAUACCGCGUACACUUGGGAUAGGGCAUCCUGACCCAAGGAAAUGAAAUUCGCUGUGAGAUAGGCAUGCGUCCCAUUAGCUAGUUGGUGAGGUAACGGCCCACCAAGGCGACGAUGGGUAGGGGAACUGAGAGGUUGAACCCCCACACUGGUACGGGGACACGGACCAGACUCCUACGGGAGGCAGCAGUGAGGAAUAUUUGUACAUGGGCGAGAGCCUGAACCAGCCAAGUCGCGUGAAGGAUGACUGUCUUAUGGAUUGUAAACUUCUUUUAUAAGGGAAUAACAAGAGCCACGUGUGGCUCCCUGCAUGUACCGUAUGAAUAAGCAUCGGCUAACUCCGUG
rnacentral:rRNA from 1 species